UACGGGGGGGGGCAAGCGUUGUUCGGAAUUACUGGGCGUAAAGGGCUCGUAGGUGGCCAACUAAGUCGGACGUGAAAUCCCUCGGCUUAACCGGGGAACUGCGUCCGAUACUGGAUGGCUUGAGUUUGGGAGAGGGACGCGGAAUUCCAGGUGUAGCGGUGAAAUGCGUAGAUAUCUGGAGGAACACCGGUGGCGAAGGCGGCGUCCUGGACCAACACUGACACUGAGGAGCGAAAGCCAGGGGAGCAAACGGG
rnacentral:rRNA from 1 species